AACCUCCGCAAUGUGAGAAAUCACGACGGGGGGAUCCCAAGUGCCAUUCUUAACGGGAUGGCUUUUCAUUAGUGUAAAGAGCUUUUGGAAUAAGAGCUGGGCAAGACCGGUGCCAGCCGCCGCGGUAACACCGGCAGCUCUAGUGGUAGCAAUUUUUAUUGGGCCUAAAGCGUCCGUAGCCGGUUUAAUAAGUCUCUGGUGAAAUCCUGCAGCUUAACUGCGGGAAUUGCUGGAGAUACUAUUAGACUUGAGAUCGGUAGAGGUUAGAGGUACUCCCAGGGUAGAGGUGAAAUUCUGUAAUCCUGGGAGGACCGCCUGUUGCGAAGGCGUCUAACUGGAACGAUUCUGACGGUGAGGGACGAAAGUUAGGGGCGCGAACCGGAUUAGAUACCCGGGUAGUCCUAACUGUAAACGAUGCGGACUUGGUGUUGGGGUGGCUUUGAGCUGCUCCAGUGCCGAAGGGAAGCUGUUAAGUCCGCCGCCUGGGAAGCACGGUCGCAAGACUGAAACUUAAAGGAAUU
rnacentral:rRNA from 1 species